rnacentral:rRNA from 1 species
CCAUGCCGCGUGCAGGAAGACUGCCCUAUGGGUUGUAAACUGCUUUUAUCCGGGAAUAAACCUGCUUACGUGUAAGUAGCUGAAUGUACCGGAAGAAUAAGGAUCGGCUAACUCCGUGCCAGCAGCCGCGGUAAUACGGAGGAUCCAAGCGUUAUCCGGAUUUAUUGGGUUUAAAGGGUGCGUAGGCGGCCUGUUAAGUCAGGGGUGAAAGACGGUAGCUCAACUAUCGCAGUGCCCUUGAUACUGAUGGGCUUGAAUGGACUAGAGGUAGGCGGAAUGAGACAAGUAGCGGUGAAAUGCAUAGAUAUGUCUCAGAACACCGAUUGCGAAGGCAGCUUACUAUGGUCUUAUUGACGCUGAGGCACGAAAGCGUGGGGAUCAAACAGGAUUAAAUACCCUGGUAGUCCACGCCCUAAACGAUGAACACUCGCUGUUGGCGAUACACAGUCAGCGGCUAAGCGAAAGCGUUAAGUGUUCCACCUGGGGAGUACGCUCGCAAGAGUGAAACUCAGAGGAAUUGACGGGGGCCCGCACAAGCGGAGGAGCAUGUGGUUUAAUUCGAUGAUACGCGAGGAACCUUACCCGGGCUUGAAAGUUAGUGAAUGAUCUAGAGAUAGAUCAGUGA